GCGUGAAGUUGAAAAGUUGUGUAAAAGAUUAGGGAGAAUAGCAAAUGAUACUUUCAAUAGUGUAAUGCGCACUUAUGAUGUAAGACUUGAUUCUUUGGAGCAUUAACAGUGGCGAAUCCAACAGCGAAGUUCAGCUAGGGCGGAGCCGCGAAACUUGACCUUGACCUGGACCGUUGACCAUCAACAAUCAUAAUAGCCCGAUCAUUUAAGCAAAUUGUACCGAUAUAUUAUUAAUUUUAUUUUAUUAAAAUUAUAAGCAGCAAGAAAAAAUUUCGAUGGUUCUUUUUUCUGAAACU
rnacentral:lncRNA from 1 species